rfam:Stegodyphus mimosarum contig30963, whole genome shotgun sequence.
GCCUUCGUGUUGUAGCGGUCAGCCCGCUCGACGCGUAUUCGAGAGGUCCGUGGUUCGAGUCCCGGCGAGGGCA